rnacentral:misc_RNA from 1 species
UACGUAGGUGGCAAGCGUUGUCCGGAAUUAUUGGGCGUAAAGCGCGCGCAGGCGGUUCCUUAAGUCUGAUGUGAAAGCCCACGGCUCAACCGUGGAGGGUCAUUGGAAACUGGGGGACUUGAGUGCAGAAGAGGAGAGCGGAAUUCCACGUGUAGCGGUGAAAUGCGUAGAGAUGUGGAGGAACACCAGUGGCGAAGGCGGCUCUCUGGUCUGUAACUGACGCUGAGGUACGAAAGCAUGGGGAGCAGACAGG